rnacentral:rRNA from 1 species
UACGUAGGCGGCGAGCGUUGUCCGGAUUUACUGGGCGUAAAGAGCGCGCAGGCGGUCGUACAAGUCGCGUGUGAAAGCCCCCGGCUCAACUGGGGAGGGUCACGCGAUACUGUUCGACUCGAAGGCAGGAGAGGGAAGUGGAAUUCCCGGUGUAGUGGUGAAAUUCGUAGAUAUUCGGAAGAACACCAGUGGCGAAGGCGGCUCACUGGACCGUUGUUGACGCUGAGGUGCGAAAGCGUGGGGAGCAAACAGG